CAAGCCCUGGAAACGGGGUCUAAUACUGGAUAGGACUGCCGGCCGCAUGGUCUGGUGGUGGAAAGCGUUUAGUGGUGCAGGAUGAGCCCGCGGCCUAUCAGCUUGUUGGUGGGGUGAGUGCCUACCAAGGCGACGACGGGUAGCCGGCCUGAGAGGGCGACCGGCCACACUGGGACUGAGACACGGCCCAGACUCCUACGGGAGGCAGCAGUGGGGAAUAUUGCACAAUGGGCGGAAGCCUGAUGCAGCGACGCCGCGUGAGGGAUGACGGCCUUCGGGUUGUAAACCUCUUUCAGCAGGGAAGAAGCCGCAAGUGACGGUACCUGCAGAAGAAGCACCGGCUAACUACGUGCCAGCAGCCGCGGUAAUACGUAGGGUGCGAGCGUUGUCCGGAAUUAUUGGGCGUAAAGAGCUCGUAGGCGGCGUGUCACGUCGGAUGUGAAAGCCCGGGGCUUAACUCCGGGUUUGCAUUCGAUACGGGCAGGCUAGAGUUCGGUAGGGGAGAUCGGAAUUCCUGGUG
rnacentral:rRNA from 1 species